AACGAACGCUGGCGGCAUGCCUAACACAUGCAAGUCGAACGGGGCAGCAAUGCCUAGUGGCGGACGGGUGAGGAAUACGUAGGAAUCUGCCCUUAAGUGGGGGGUAACCAGGGGAAACCCUGACUAAUACCGCAUGAUCUCUUCGGAGCAAAGAGGGGGACCGCAAGGCCUCUCGCUUCUGGAUGAGCCUACGUCUGAUUAGCUAGUUGGUAGGGUAAAGGCCUACCAAGGCGACGAUCAGUAACUGGUCGGAGAGGAUGAUCAGUCACACCGGAACUGAGACACGGUCCGGACUCCUACGGGAGGCAGCAGUGGGGAAUAUUGGACAAUGGGCGCAAGCCUGAUCCAGCAAUGCCGCGUGUGUGAAGAAGGCCUUCGGGUUGUAAAGCACUUUAGCCUGGAAAGAAAAAACUUUGGUAAACACCCAAAGUCUUGACGGUACCAGGAGAAUAAGCACCGGCUAACUCUGUGCCAGCAGCCGCGGUAAGAC
rnacentral:rRNA from 1 species